GUGGAUGGCUGUGGCUGAUGGGAGUCGGCGUGGCUCUUCAGUCCUCGUGGCCUGUCUUUCUUCCCUCCCGCGUGGAGGAAGCUGGGAGGAAGUAACUGCCACUUCCUCCCAGCACUACUUUGCGGCUGCAAAUUUUUAAAGAGGCCCAGUCGCGCUAUUGCACCAUUGUAUCACCGCCAAGGAUACCCAUUCCUGUAGUAUUAUAGCUCCUUGCAGAAUGAGUAUAACUGAUAUAACUUCCCC